rfam:Dictyostelium lacteum strain TK GAOABQK02HTB3S, whole genome shotgun sequence.
GUUUUCUUAGCUCAGCUGGUAAAGCGUAGGUCUCAUAAUCCUGAGGUCGUGAGUUCGAUCCUCACAGAGAACA